UGGGCUAGGGGAGAUGACUGAGUAGAAAGUAUUCUAUUCAUUUGCCUCCCAGCCUACA
rnacentral:miRNA from 1 species